ACGCGCGCAGAUGACGUACGACUCGCGGCGCAUUUCGGCAGCAUGGCGUCCGUGGCGCUGAGCGAGGCGGAGAAGGUGUACAUCGUGCACGGCGUCCAGGAAGACCUCCGUGUGGAUGGCCGUGGCUGUGAGGACUACCGAUGUGUCGAAGUGGAAACCGAUGUGGUGUCCAACACCAGUGGGUCCGCCAGGGUCAAGCUGGGUCACACAGACAUCUUGGUGGGUGUGAAAGCAGAAAUGGGGACGCCGAAGCUGGAGAAACCAAAUGAAGGCUACUUGGAGUUCUUUGUUGACUGUUCAGCCAGUGCUACCCCUGAAUUUGAAGGUAGAGGAGGUGAUGACCUUGGCACUGAGAUCGCUAACACCCUCUAUCGGAUAUUUAACAAUAAAAGCAGUGUUGACCUAAAGACCCUCUGCAUUAGUCCUCGGGAGCACUGCUGGGUUCUCUAUGUGGAUGUGCUGCUGCUGGAAUGUGGUGGAAAUCUGUUUGAUGCCAUUUCCAUUGCUGUAAAGGCUGCUCUCUUCAAUACAAGGAUACCAAGGGUUCGAGUUCUGGAGGAUGAAGAGGGGUCGAAGGACAUUGAAUUGUCUGAUGACCCUUAUGACUGCAUACGACUAAGUGUGGAGAAUGUCCCCUGCAUUGUCACUCUGUGCAAGAUUGGCUAUCGGCAUGUGGUGGAUGCUACUCUUCAGGAGGAGGCCUGCUCGCUGGCCAGCUUGCUGGUGUCGGUGACCAGCAAGGGAGUUGUGACGUGCAUGAGGAAAGUGGGGAAGGGCAGCCUGGACCCAGAGAGCAUCUUUGAGAUGAUGGAGACUGGCAAGCGUGUGGGCAAGGUGCUGCAUGCCUCCUUGCAGAGUCUUCUGCACAAGGAAGAAAGCCUGGGGCCCAAGAGACAGAAAGUUGGAUUCCUGGGAUGAUUUGCACAUCAACUGCUCAACUGUGGAUUGUUUUUUACUUUUCCUUUUAAACCGUGACUAUCUACAGGCACCAUGACGGUGUUCCCAAGGCAGAAAUCAGCCUGGUCUCUCCUUCCCUGCUCCUGGUUGACUGCCCGUGACAUGACAAAACAUUGGCAGUGGUGGCGCAGAGAUGCAACUCGAGUGUGAAUAAAGUUUAGAAGCGUUUGCUUUUGAUGGUUGAUUCCAGUGGAUCAUUUUGAGAUGCAUAAAUUAGAAUGAGUACUGUCGUAUAUGUCAAACUCAGCUCUGCUGCACUUCCCUUCAGACAGACAGAUGAGGCUUUGCCAUGCCAGUGGUACGACAAACAGCUACCCAGCUUGGAUGGCUGACUAAGCGCUUCCAGUAAAAAUGGAGAAAGAAGAGAAAAAGAUGGUGGGAUCUGUCUCUAGCCACCCCAUACCUUUCCCUGAAGGCCACCCUUACAUGUAAUAUAUGUAUAUUGCAAAUGAAACAAAACACCAUAUGAGCAGGGACUCUCCAGGAGAGGCGUUUAUUGGAAAGAUCUGAUUGUUGCAACUCUCAGAGUGAGAGAAGAGAAAACUGAAGACAGAGACUGGCAAAGACUUGGAAAAAUAUUAUCCUGGGACAGACCUGUUUCAUCCAGCAGAGCCACAGCUGUCUUUAGUGGUCUUUAAAUAAACAUUAGGUAGAAGAACAUUGAAGUUGGUCACAGUAAGGGCGGAGUAUAAGAAAUGCAAUGUUAAAUAAUAUUCAAGUGGGUUUUCAGUUGUCUCUGAUUCCUUAGUCUUCCAAAUCACGAGUUAACUUUUUUUCUUUUUUUUGUUUUUAGAG